rnacentral:rRNA from 1 species
GCUUACGGCCAUACCACCCUGAGAACGCCCGAUCUCGUCCGAUCUCGGAAGCUAAGCAGGGUCGGGCCUUGUUAGUACUUGGAUGGGAGACCGCCUGGGAAUACCAGGUGCUGUAAGCU